rnacentral:lncRNA from 1 species
GUAUAUCGAAAAGAAAAAAAAGGUUUAUACAUGCCGCUUCUUUGGUGAGAAACAAAUCUCCAAGUUGCAAUUUCUUUUGCUACGAAGCCUGCUAAUGCAUACAGUACCUGGAACUUUUUCUACAUAAUUUCUUGACUUGGUACCAGUACUGGAAAACAUUGUCAAGAUUCUGGUCUCAUUUAUACGUAGACUUCUUAGGGCGUUAUUAUUCUUGAGUGCUUCUGAAAAUUUAAUCGACUAUAGAGGAGUUACAAAGAGCUAGAUUGCUUGAAUUUUGCAUCACAAAAUUUGGGACCGCCAAGUCUCAUGCUGCUUAAGAAACUGAGCUUAACAUGUCAAGUUCAUACUAUGUAUUUUCUUUUUCAUAAUUAGUUUAUUUUGUAAUACAUGAGGGGUAGUAUUAUUUGCAUCUUUAUUCUAAGACUAUCACUUUCUCAGGCCGCUAUCUACAUGGGAUAAGAUUUCUGUCUUGCUAAAUGAUCUAAUAUGCAUCUAAUAAAAGAAAUAGUAGUGGUACUUUUGUCAUUUUGAGUUUUUCUCAAAGGAGGACAUGAUUUGCUUUUAGGUGAUAUCUUUAAAAUUGAAUGACACCAAUGAGAUUGGAUAUCUGAUUUUGGAUCUCUGAAUCGUGUACAACAAUCAUACAAUAUAUAAAAACAUCAUGAAGAACAAACUGAAUUGUGGUUUGAAGGAGUAGAAGUGUCUUGCCAACAAUCAUACUUUUACUAAUGCCAUUUAACAAAUAUCACCAAAGCAGUCAUGUUCAAAUGUUUGGUGUCAGUCUAUUUAAGUUCACAUUUAAUCGGGCUCAGAUUUUUGUAGGCUUUUUGAGAUAUCUAACGCAAUCCUCCCCGCACGUUUCCUUUUCGAGUUUUAGCAUGGUUCAUUUAUCGAUCAGUACUUUAUGUCAAUAUGAUCAGGUGUAUUGCAAGUACUGAUUGGGCAAAAAGGUAUAAAAUGAGGAGGCAAGAGGGGAAACCAUGAAAGUAACUCUUUUUCACUUAAAAAAAGGACACUUGGAUAAGUCUAGCUGUCAACAACUGUUGACUGAUAUGCUAGAAUGGUAAUUUUGGUGGUUGUCCAAUAGAUUUUGGUUAAUUCCAAGGUUUCAAUUACCUGUUAAUCCAGUAUGAUACUGAGAUACUGUAUACUGGCCCAUGCCACCUGAUCUCGCUAGAUAAAAUAAUAUAAAAAAUAAAAAUAAAUGAUAUACUGAGCAGUAUCAAGUGCUGAGGUUCAUAAUUGGUGCUUGGUGAGACUGUUCAUAGCCGGGCAUCCCGAUAGGAUCCAAAAUUGGUCGACCCAAUAUUUGCUGAUAUGGUUAUUACUGAUCCUAGUUUGGCCAGAGCCAAGGAAAAUCUUGGAGUUUUAACUAAUUCCAGGGUUUAAACUUAUCUCACCUGAAAUUAGGCGAUCUACAUGCAACUGAUCUUUGCUUGGACCAGUAUGUAUCAUGUAAUGUGGGUGAAAUAUCAGUAGACAGCAUUUUUUGCCUUCUCUUUUGUCUGGGCUUGGGUAAGACAACAAAAAGAAUGUAAACCAAGAAGAUUUGUCUCUGUGGCAUACCAUUAAAUCAUUUUGACAUUGAUUCUGUUACAACUUAUUAUGACCAAUUGGAAAAAGUGUUGCAUGUUUGAUGAGUACAGAUAGACAGGAGAGACUCUGGGCUCAACAGUCAUUCAUAAUUAAUAACAGCGGAAGAGAGUUGUAUUCUGCUUGUUCUUUAAAAUACAGAUUGCUCAAUCAUUAUGUAACAAAGCGAACUAGGUCCACAGGAGGAUAAAUCUAAGGGCUAGUGUUUUGCUGCUGAAAGAAAUGCUGUAACUGAAACUACAUAAUAGCGAUCAACUUGAAUUUGCCCAUUUUAGGAUGCAAUGUAAAAUGAUGGGUGCAUAAAGCUACUAAAUUUCACCAAAGAUAUAUAAUGGGUAACUAAAUUUGUUAUUUUUGGGUUGAUAAAGGAUGUUUUAUCAAUGAGCUGCAAAUAUGUCAGAAAAAGAAGGUGAAAGAGUUCAUGGUUGAUUUUCAAAGAAAAUUUAAAAAAUUCAUUAAUUUUUUAAUACUAUAAUGAUCAUGCAUGGAAGUCAUGUCAUGCAAUGUCCUUCCUAUCUUUCGGUUUCAGAUAAUGUUUAACUAUUAACCUAACAUUAUAAAAGUAGUGGUUCUGUGUCUGUUUUUCUGAAAAGAAAUUAUUUCGCAUGAGCUCUAGUAGAUGCUUGGAUGUGCUGCUUCAGAUAUAUCAACAAACAAUAUAUUCACAAAAGGAUAUAUAUUUCUUGGUCUUGAAGCAUGAGUGUCAUUCUGUCAUAUAAAAAUUCAUAAAAAUGACAUGUGGACUUAUGCAUGUGAUUGUAAUUUUUUUUAAUUUGUUUGUUCUUUGGGUUUUCAAUGGAAGAAUUGAUCUUCAAUAUCACUUAAUCGUCUGUGGAAGCUAUGUAUGGCUUUAAGAAAUUUUUACAACAGUUUCAUGUUCAUGCAUGAUGCCGAAUAACAUUAUGUUUUGUUAAGAUCAGUUGAUUAUGAAUAGUCUUUAACGCCCUAAGUUCAAGUUGUUGAAUGUCAAGACACUGCAAGCAACCUAAAAUUGAAGUAUCCAGUAAGGUUGCUACAAAGUGGAGAGCAUGAAUACCCUGAACUUGAACUUAUCUUGGUGGAGAUGUGAAGGAUGAUAGGCGCAAGUUAACAAACCUUAUCGGGCUGAUCGCUUGAGUUCAUCUGAUGUCACUUCACAUGAUCAGUGAAGUUAUUACAUACAUGAGAGAUCUGAUCUACAUCUUCAGUCCACUUAACUCGACAUUAAAGCUAUGACAUGCUCAUCUUUGUCAUCUGCAUAAUCGUCAUCGUCAUGAUCUGAUCUCAUUCUGUGGUUUAUUACUUUGGGGCAGUAAUCCUCUUUAAGCAGGUUCUUGCUAUCAAUUGUUAAAUGGCAGCAAACUUUUAUCAAGUCAGCACAGGAGUGAAGAUGCCUGAAAAGAAAGGCUGCCAAAUAGUAUGGCCUUAUUGCGGGUCUAAUUUUGUUAAUUAUUUAAUCUCGUUACAAGGAAGCAUAUUUCUAUUCUUGAAAGGAGUCUUAAAAAUUAUACAAGACGAUACUGUAUGAUACAAGGAAAUCUUCACCAACUUUGUAUUGUAUUUCUGAUUGAUUUUAUAGAGAUGUAGCAAUUAUGACCACUAAACUAGCUUGUUACAGAAGGAAUUGUUUUGAUGGUUGCGUGCAUACAUAGUUUCAACUAUUAGGAUGCUACAAGUAUUGACUGAGGAAACAUGAAUUCUGUUGUAGAAAAUGAAAACAUUCUUAGAUGUGUUCUAAAAGAAAUAGCAAACGAAAACAGGAGAACAUUUGAUUUGAUUCACUAAGGAAAUUAUUUCGGGCUUUUCUGUACUCUGCACUAUCAUUAUAAAUUGUAUCUUGGAUCCUCCAUCAUGUCCCACCGGCUUGUGUCUCUUUUAUGAUAACCAAAUGGCGGUUUGCAAUUGCAUCUUUGCAAUCUCGUGACCUGUUGUGGGUGAAAUUAUGUUUAUUUUGGAUGCUAUUGUUUCUUCUUUCUUUUGGACAUCUACUUGCAUUUCCAAGUUGCUUCGUUCUCGUCAUUCUUGUUAGUCGUGUUUCUUAACACCGGAACAAAAUGCUUUCUGAUGUGUUAUUCUCUUUUUCAGUUUUCUUAAGCCGAAGCUCAAUGCUUACAACUCUGUAGCUGAAGGAAAAAUACCUUCCUAACGGCAACUAAUGGGGAAAGAGGAUGACGGAUUUAAUUUAUGUGAUGUUCUCGUCGUUCAUCCUGGAUGACGGCAGUUGUUUAAGUCUUAGACAUCUGUAUAGUAAAUCCCAUUGGGAGGUUUAGUUUGAUGCCAUUUGUUUCUACAAUAAAUUGUUGGUUUCUUUGUUCCUGUUUGGAAUCAUUUAAGUGAGAAAUAGUGCUUCAUUUAUUGUACCAAGUAACUAAGCUUCAGUUUCUUUGGAUCAAGAAACUGGACCAGAUUAGAUAUGACCAUUUAUCAUAUUAGUUGUACAUCUCUUUGUUCAGAUUUAUUCAAAUUGCUCGAGAGAUGUGGAUGCUGUUUAUUUUUCCAAGUUGUUUUUCGACGAAGCAGAGGUUGAAUGUGCAAGUGGGGAUUCCACCACUUGGAGACGACAACCAACGGCACAAAUCAGCUUCUCC